rnacentral:rRNA from 1 species
UACGUAGGGUGCAAGCGUUGUCCGGAAUUAUUGGGCGUAAAGAGCUCGUAGGCGGUCUGUCGCGUCUGCUGUGAAAACUCAGGGCUUAACCCUGAGCUUGCAGUGGGUACGGGCAGACUAGAGUGCGGUAGGGGAGACUGGAAUUUCUGGUGUAGCGGUGAAAUGCGUAGAUAUCAGAAGGAACAUCAGUGGCGAAAGCGGCUUCCUGGUCCAGUAACCG